UCUGAAAAUUCACUUCAGAUUCAAAUGCAACGGUCUCUCUUUCUCUCUCUCUGUGGCUGAAGAAAAUAUCAGAUCUCCUCAAGCUUUUUAGGUUUAGAGAAUUUGAAGGAAUCAAAGAAAGGAGAAUCGCAAUGGUGACUGCGAAGGGGAAAUUCGCUGCCGGUUUGAACCGUGUUGGCGAUGAUAGUCGCGCUUCCA